GACUUGAAGAAUCACUGCAAGUUCAAGUCUGAGGAUUUGUUAUAAGCCUAGAAGAACUUAUUAUCAUUCCAGCUAACCAUUCAUGUUCCAACUAUCUCUAUGGAUAAGCUGCUCUUUGGACUACUCAGAAAGUUUGGUAAAAUGCUCAGGUCAUGCACGCCUUUAUUGGAUAAGUGACCAGUGCUGUGGAUGACAUCACCAAUAUGAUCAACAUCUUCAAAAACUCAUUUUCUUGGGAAUUCCAUCAAGAAGGUCUGCUCUGCCUAUCACCACAGACUCUAGUCUUCAGCUGGGGCAGAACCCCCUGUGCCUUACUAUUUGCCACUUGUCAAGUCCACAAUGAUAUUGGCAAGUCAGCACCAGGUCUGAACUCUACUCUCUUUGUGGAACGGGAACUCUUUUCAGAAGACUUUGCUUUUUCUCAUAAGCUGACCCAGAAAAUCAAGUAUCUGGCCCCUUUUACCCCUGUGAUGGAGGAGAGCAUUCUUGGGAAUAGAUGUCAAGUGAACCAACCUGUGGGAUUUACCUCUAUUAGGGAGGCGACUACUUCAUGUAACUGCAGUGGUCUUUAUUAUUUAAAACACUGA
rnacentral:lncRNA from 1 species